CCCUUAGAUGUUCUGGGCCGCACGCGCGCUACACUGAUGCAUUCAACGAGCCUAUCCUUGACCGACAGGUCCGGGUAAUCUUUGAAUCUGCAUCGUGACGGGGAUAGAUUAUUGCAAUUAUUAAUCUUCAACGAGGAAUGCCUAGUAGGCGCAAGUCAUCAGCUUGCGUCGAUUACGUCCCUGCCCUUUGUACACACCGCCCGUCGCACCUACCGAUUGAAUGGUCCGGUGAAGCCUCGGGAUUGUAGCAAUCUACCUUUAUUGGUGGUUUGUUGCAAGAACUUGUCUAAACCUUAUCAUUUAGAGGAAGGUGAAGUCGUAACA
rnacentral:rRNA from 1 species